rnacentral:lncRNA from 1 species
GGAACAAGGAAAAGUUUUGAUCACUUGAUAUCAGACACAAAGGCUCCUAAAAGACAAGAAAUGGAAUCAGGGAUUACAACACCCCCAAAAAUGAGAAGAGUGGCAGAGACCGACUAUGAAAUGGGUAAGAAACAAAGCUGAUAAGUAGUGAAGAUCGUCGCAGGCCAUGAGGAGCACAAUGAAGGCCAUUUCCUUCCAUCCAGACCUUAAGCCUUCAGGGUACAAUACAGAAACAUGCACUCUUGUUUCACUCUCUCUAGUCCUUAAGUUGGCAGGAGAAGAAAUCGACCAGUUUUGUAAAUGCCAAUGGAAUGUGCUGAACAGGCAGAGGUAGGGGGAUCACAUGCUUGAGGUCUGCCUGAGCUACACUUUAAGAGGCAGGAGGAUCUCCAUGAGUUCAAGGAUACCCUAGUCUACAUAGACAGUUCCAGGCCAGCCAGAGCUACAUAGAGGGACCAUACUU